rnacentral:pre_miRNA from 10 species
CUGGGCGGGCGGCUGUUAAGACUUGCAGUGAUGUUUAACUCCUCUCUUGUGAACAUCACAGCAAGUCUGUGCUGCUUCCCGUCCGCAC